AAUCAACCAAUAUAGGUCCGUCUUUCAGUUGGGAAUAAAAAAUGUCUCAAAUAUGAAUUUAAAAUGAAUAAUGUGCAACAACUGAUAAUUAAUAUCACUUGUUAAAAUUUCUCAUGGUCAAUCAAACAUAAAUACAUAGUCAUACACAAUAUGUAUAUACAUUAGCUGAAUCUGUGCCAUUGUCACAAAACCUUGAGACUCUUAUUAGUUGCAGUGCAUGUUAGUGCCCAAGUCCCAACCAUCACUCUAUGUUGGUGCAGUUGAACAUCAUUCCAAUGCAUAAUCUCAGGAGAUCCUACAUCAGCAUAGGCAAUAUGGGGCACACAAGAAAUGCCAAGGUACAACACUUGGUACAACAACUGCACUUGCAAGCCAUAGCCACGCGCUUUAUCUAAUUCCAUGCACUCUUAAUUUCUACACUCCUCUUCCUUCACAACAUCUAAGCUCCAAUUCGCCAUCUUUACAUCAAUCAUCCAUCUUUGCUCUUGCAACCCAUCCUCAC
rnacentral:lncRNA from 1 species